rnacentral:rRNA from 1 species
CGCACAAGCGGUGGAUGAUGUGGAUUAAUUCGAUGCAACGCGAAAAACCUUACCUACCCUUGACAUGCCACUAACGAAGCAGAGAUGCAUCAGGUGCCCGAAAGGGAAAGUGGACACAGGUGCUGCAUGGCUGUCGUCAGCUCGUGUCGUGAGAUGUUGGGUUAAGUCCCGCAACGAGCGCAACCCUUGUCUCUAGUUGCUACGCAAGAGC